AGAGCUCUAGCUGCAGUGCCGUGGGUGAAUGGUGCCCUCUAGUGGGGUAACGACGAACUUCUUCGUGUCAGCUGAGAUAACUGUUUUUAAAGUGGAGGUAGAAAGAUUUCUUUCGGUUCAACAACAGCACGCCCUCCAACGAAGCAGGCCUUCUUUCCUUCCUUUCUGGCUGCCUGUACCGCUGGCCAUAAUUUCUUGCGAUUUUCCCUGUCGAUUUUGCAAAGGUCCUCAGCAAAGCGAAGGCCGUUGUCUCGUAGAUACUCGUUGGUCUUGGCUGCUGCCCAGACCCCUGCCUUGAAUACCCGCGAGGAGAACUGGAGAAUCGUUCCUCGAGGGUCCGUGUCUCUUUUGGUAAUUGGAUAAAACGUUUGUAAACAGAUAUCAAAAAUAGAAAAACGACUGGUUAUUUGAUUUUUGUUUUAAAAUAGAAAAACCAAAAUUGAAAUACAGCUUGAUUUUCUUUUUUGUUGUCUGGAACGAGUAAGAAAAAGUCAAAUAACGGUUUGAUUUUCAAUAUUCAUUUCUAUAAAGAAAAUAAAAUAUAGCACAAGACACAAAACUACGGAAGCCCUAAAGGGCCAUGAAUUCACAUAUAUUAUUUACUCCGUUUUCUCGUGAUAACGAGAUAAUUUCCGGAUGGUGUACGAAACAAACUGAAGGCUGAUCACUCUGAGAGCCAACCCAUCACAUGCUCUGCGGUUGCUGACCACACCAGUGAGCUGUAGCAGAUGUGGUGGAGGGGCUUCCACUUUCCCCUGGGAGGCCGGUGACUACAGUGGCUCUGAACACACUGUUACUGGGACCAAGUAUUCCACAAAGAAGGAGUUGGACCCUGUGGUGACAACAUGGAACACCCACCGGAUCCGGCCAGGUCAGAAUGGUUGUGACUUGUAUCAUGGAAAACCUUUCCUCAUGUAUCAUGCACCAGAACUCUACCAGGCACAGGACUACCUCAUCCCACUGGACCAUGAAAGACUGGACAUCAUCCUGCAACAAGAUGUUUGCCAUUGGAAAACUGAUAUUGUCUGUGAUCCAGAUCUUCUUGAGCUCUGCGUUUUAGUAAUGGAGGAGCAUAAUCUUCAGGCUGGCCACAAUGCUGUCCAAGCUACCAGACUUUACCGACAACUGAGGCCCUUGAUAAGAGCACAGUUGUCGGGGCCAGAAUAGUCCUUACCUUGCUAGUUUGUUGUUUCACACAAGUGGUUGUUAACAAUUAUCCAGUUGCAGCUGGUUGUGAGAUCAGCUCCAUUUCCAGGUGUUUAACACAUACCUGCUCUCUGAUUCUUUAUCAGUUUUGUGCAGAACACACACAUCAGUAGGAAUGAACAUGCCUUUGUUUUGAAUGUUUUUAGUGUUUACAUUUCCUACUUUGAGAAGAGAACAAACUUUUUUUUUCAUUUAAGUCUAAUAUGUCUUAGCUACAGACACCCGCAGUUUCUUAACAAUAUUAGACAUGGCUUUACUUGCAAUGUUACACUCUGCUACAGAUGACAUUAUUUUGUAUUGAAAGUUUAAUGUGUGUAUUGUUUUUCCAUUUACACUUUAGUUACCCUUGCUCUCAAUUAUGUGUUUGAAAAUGAUCAAGGGUUGUUUCAUUCUGUUUGAUAAAUGCAACUAAAAAGUCACACCACAGUAAUUAGAGCCUUCUUGAGACUUUGACAGAACACUGUCAUUAAUAUAAAUGCUAAAUCUUAAUACUUUCUGUAUAUAGCUUUAAAUACCUACAUCAAGGCAAACCAAGAGGUGAUUUAUCUUUAUCUUAUGACUGUUUAGGCAACUGUAUGAAGAUAUUUUCUUUUGAGUAAAGUACAGAUGAAUCCAGUCCACAGCCAGAAUCCUUCUCAUCUCCACUAAUACUGUGUCAUUUGGGAAAAAUGCU